GAUUCAGAUAAAUCGAAGUUCGGCGUUUGGUACCGGGUAAUUUCCGAUGUUCAUUGCAAUCUGGAUGAAAAUCAAUCCAUAGAUAAUAAUAGACAUAUUAGAGGGGUGCAUGAUUGAACGAAUGACUUUUGGUCUUGCGUUCCGUUGAGACAUUUGGUAAACAUUUAAUAUUUUAUAUCAUUAUGAAAUUAAAAAAUACAGACUAAUUUUGUAUGUUAUUUUUAUUAAUUGAUAAUAUUUUUAGUUAAUCACUUUGUAAAGUCUUACAAAUGUUUAAAACAAAAGGAAAAUGCAACGACGGAUUUUUCUUUUGCAACUGAAGUAAUGAAACGCAAAAAAAAAAGAAAAAUGACGUUAUGUUAUAUCAGCUGACAUACUUGAAUUCGCGCCGAAUGCAACAGUUUUAUCUUCUCAGAAUUUAUACAAUAACAACAAUAACGAAAGAAAUAUCACCGAUUUACUACCUACUAGAUCUGAGAGUCGGAGGCUAGACAUGGAGGAGCGACUUGUUUCAGCAGUUAACAAGCUGGCUGGCUACAGCUGCUGAAGCUAAUAGCAAGGCCGCGGAUAUGCAAACAGAGUUGCUUCGGCUGCUGCUGGAGGAAGCUAGGUGAAGACCAAUAUAAGGUUAAAGAAUAGCAGCAUGACGAUUCUCAAGAACAAAGACACUAGCGAAGAACGAAGAUACAAACUAAGUUAAAAUACUUAAGUAAAAACAUAUGUAUUCAAUAAACUUGUAUGUAAAUAUUUAAGCUAAA
rnacentral:lncRNA from 1 species